rnacentral:lncRNA from 1 species
UCUUGUCUCCUCAGCUUGGUCUUUGCUUCCCUCCAUCAUACAGCAGUUCCUUUAAUCUGGAAAGCUUUGUAACUGUUGACCCAUUAAAAUAGUGGAUUGAGGAGCAGAGUAGAAAGGCAGAACAUUUUCUUACACCAUUGCUAUAGACAGCAUUUCGUUUUUCUCAUGUCAAGGUCUUGUGAAAGCGGAUCUCUACCUAUAACGUUGUCUUCAGAUAACUUGAAAACUCACUGUGACUUGUUUAGACUGUACCUGAAGGAUUUUGGGGAAUAUGUCCAUGGAGUAUUCAAGUGAAUGACCAACAAGGCCAAAUUAAAGGAUGCAAUGGACCUAUAUUUAUGCAUUUUGGAUUGGCCUCUGUUUAUUACAGCCUAGACAACAAUACUACUUUACAAGACUCUGCUUCUGCAACCCAGAGAGAAAAAGAACAAAUUUCAAGGAGAGAACCUCAUCCAUCUUCUCCUGAAUCUGUCACAAUGCUGUAGAUGGCUGCGCUACUUGGUGUUUAUAGGGCCAGAUUGAACUAUUGAUUUUUUACAUGGAACUCCCCAUUGCCCUGAAGAAAUCAUACUAAGAAAAAGCAAAUGGCAUAAUAUAUGGUCCUUAAAGAUGAGCAAGACCUGAUUUAUCUGGCAUUUUGUUUUGUUUUCCUGUCUCUGAUUAUAGCAAUUAUUUGUUAGCAUGCACCACUUUCUUUAUUUUGCUUUCAACCUUUUCAUAGUAAAGUAGUUGAGAGAAGAUUGUUUUAGUUUUGUAUUAUUUAGAGAAUUGGUUACUGCUGUUCUCAUCUAUCAUUAAUGAAUGGAAAUUCUACUUAAUGAACUUUUUUUCAAUGUCAGUUCAAAUCGUUGACACUUACAAUUACUAUGGCACCUCUGAGAAAGAAACUCAUGCUAUAACCUGAGCCAUUUUGGAGAGAGAUAAUAAAAAGCUGUUCCCAUAUUUCUGUGCA